ACAGUGUGAUAUUCACAAUUGCUUUUGCAUUUAGCUGCUGUUUGGAUAAAUGAUUAAUUUACCAUACAUUAAUUAACAUAUUGUAGUUAUUUACAUAUGAAUUAAGUUAUUUAGAUAUUGUAGGUGUUCAAUGAUCCCACAACAUUAACAGAGGAGCUGUAUGAUUUGCGAGACCGCUGGGCAAGUUGUUUUCUUGACCUAUAUAAUCCCGAGGUAGAUUAUGAUGAUGCCGACGAGAAAGAUUAGGAGCUAGCUAGGUUUGUGUGAAGUUACUAUGGACUAGUUAUGAUGAUGUUUUAAUUUGUAUUUUGGAUGGAUUAGUAUUAAUUAUUAUGAUGUUUUGUAUAUUUUUUUUUUAUAACAUGAUGUUUUGUAUUUUGGAUUACAAUGUGGUUGUACUUUAAUGACAUUAUUACUAUAUACUAUAUGUUGAAUGUUGAAUUUGGCUAUGGAGGUUGAAUGUUAAAUUUUAGUAUUAUGUUCUUGAUGUAAGCUAUGUUAUAUUGUUGACAUUGUGGGUUAGAUUUUUUUAAUAAAAAAAAGAGGAUUUAAAAUAUAUAAAAAAACGCAGG
rnacentral:lncRNA from 1 species